UCAGAAACUACAAAGGAAUUGACGGGGACCCGCACAAGCGGUGGAGCAUGUGGUUUAAUUCGACGAUACGCGAAGAACCUUACCUGGCCUUGACAUACUAAAAAGCUUUAAGAGAUUAGAGUGUGCUAGCUUGCUAGAAUUUAGAUACAGGUGCUGCACGGCUGUCGUCAGCCCGUGUCGUGAGAUGUUGGGUUAAGUCCCGCAACGAGCGCAACCUCGUGUUUAGUUGCUAACAGUUCGGCUGAGAACUCUAAACAGACUGCCUACGCAAGUAGGAGGAAGGUGAGGACGACGUCAAGUCAUCAUGGCCCUUACGGCCAGGGCUACACACGUGCUACAAUGGGGUAUACAAAGAGCAGCGAUACGGUGACGUGGAGCAAAUCUAGAAAAUGCCUCUCAGUUCGGAUUGUAGUCUGCAACUCGACUACAUGAAGUUGGAAUCGCUAGUAAUCGUAGAUCAGCAAUGCUACGGUGAAUACGUUCCCGGGUCUU
rnacentral:rRNA from 1 species